rnacentral:rRNA from 1 species
GACGAACGCUGGCGGCGUGCCUAAUACAUGCAAGUUGAGCGAUGAAGAUUGGUGCUUGCACCAAUUUGAAGAGCAGCGAACGGGUGAGUAACGCGUGGGGAAUCUGCCUUUGAGCGGGGGACAACAUUUGGAAACGAAUGCUAAUACCGCAUAACAACUUUAAACAUAAGUUUUAAGUUUGAAAGAUGCAAUUGCAUCACUCAAAGAUGAUCCCGCGUUGUAUUAGCUAGUUGGUGAGGUAAAGGCUCACCAAGGCGAUGAUACAUAGCCGACCUGAGAGGGUGAUCGGCCACAUUGGGACUGAGACACGGCCCAAACUCCUACAGGAGGCAGCAGUAGGGAAUCUUCGGCAAUGGACGAAAGUCUGACCGAGCAACGCCGCGUGAGUGAAGAAGGUUUUCGGAUCGUAAAACUCUGUUGGUAGAGAAGAACGUUGGUGAGAGUGGAAAGCUCAUCAAGUGACGGUAACUACCCAGAAAGGGACGGCUAACUACGUG